GACCGCGUAGCUCAGCUGGCAGAGCAUUGGGCUAGUAUUCCAAAGGUCGUAGGUUCGAUUCCCACUGUGGUCA
rnacentral:tRNA from 1 species